rnacentral:rRNA from 1 species
AUUGAACGCUGGCGGCAUGCCUUACACAUGCAAGUCGAACGGCAGCACGGGUGCUUGCACCUGGUGGCGAGUGGCGAACGGGUGAGUAAAGCAUCGGAACGUACCAUUGAGUGGGGGAUAACGUAGCGAAAGUUACGCUAAUACCGCAUAUUCUCUCCGGAGGAAAGCAGGGGAUCGUAAGACCUUGCGCUCUUUGAGCGGCCGAUGUCGGAUUAGCUAGUUGGUGGGGUAAAGGCCCACCAAGGCGACGAUCCGUAGCUGGUCUGAGAGGAUGAGCAGCCACACUGGGACUGAGACACGGCCCAGACUCCUACGGGAGGCAGCAGUGGGGAAUUUUGGACAAUGGGGGCAACCCUGAUCCAGCCAUGCCGCGUGAGUGAAGAAGGCCUUCGGGUUGUAAAGCUCUUUCGCGAGGGAAGAAAACGUGCAGGUUAAUACCCUGUAUGGAUGACGGUACCUUGAUAAGAAGCACCGGCUAACUACGUGCCAGCAGCCGCAGUAACAC